CCUACGGGUGGCUGCAGUAGGGAAUCUUGCGCAAUGGGCGAAAGCCUGACGCAGCAACGCCGCGUGAUCGAGACGCCCUUCGGGGUGUAAAGAUCUGUCAGUGGGGACGAAACUUGACGGUACCCACAGAGGAAGCACAGGCUAACUCCGUGACAGCAGCCGGGGCAAUACGGGGGGUGCAAGCGUUGUCCGGAAUCAUUGGGCGUAAAGAGGUCGUAGGCGGCACGUAAAGUCUGGUGUUAAAGGCAGAGGCUCAACUUCGGUACGGCACUGGAUACUUGCGAGCUAGAAUGCGGUAGAGGUAAAGGGAAGUCCUGGUGUAGCGGUGAAAUGCUUAGAUAUCAGGAGGAACAUCGGUUGCGUAAGCGCUUUACUGGGCCGUAAUUGACGCUGAGGAACGAAAGCCAGGGUAGCGAAUGGGAUUAGAUACCCGGGUAGUC
rnacentral:rRNA from 1 species